CCCGGUGCCUAUAGCGGAGGGGAAACACCCGAUCCCAUUUCGAACUCGGAAGUUAAGCCCUCCAGCGCCGAUGGUACUGCCCUGGAGACAGGGUGGGAGAGUAGGUCGUCACCGGGA
rnacentral:rRNA from 1 species